GAUGAACGCUGGCGGCGUGCCUAAUACAUGCAAGUCGAGCGAACAGACGAGGAGCUUGCUCCUCUGACGUUAGCGGCGGACGGGUGAGUAACACGUGGAUAACCUACCUAUAAGACUGGGAUAACUUCGGGAAACCGGAGCUAAUACCGGAUAAUAUAUUGAACCGCAUGGUUCAAUAGUGAAAGACGGUUUUGCUGUCACUUAUAGAUGGAUCCGCGCCGCAUUAGCUAGUUGGUAAGGUAACGGCUUACCAAGGCAACGAUGCGUAGCCGACCUGAGAGGGGUGUCCGGCCACACGGAAACUAGACAAGGUCCAGACUCCUACGGGAGGCAGCAGUAGGGAAUCUUCCGCAAUGGGCGAAAGCCUGACGGAGCAACGCCGCGUGAGUGAUGAAGGUCUUCGGAUCGUAAAACUCUGUUAUUAGGGAAGAACAAAUGUGUAAGUAACUAUGCACGUCUUGACGGUACCUAAUCAGAAAGCCACGGCUAACUACGUG
rnacentral:rRNA from 1 species